rnacentral:rRNA from 1 species
UACGUAGGGUGCAAGCGUUGUCCGGAAUUAUUGGGCGUAAAGAGCUCGUAGGCGGCUUGUCGCGUCGGAUGUGAAAGCCCGGGGCUUAACUCCGGGUCUGCAUUCGAUACGGGCAGGCUAGAAUUCGGUAGGGGAGACUGGAAUUCCUGGUGUAGCGGUGAAAUGCGCAGAUAUCAGGAGGAACACCGGUGGCGAAGGCGGGUCUCUGGGCCGAUAUUGACGCUGAGGAGCGAAAGCGUGGGGAGCGAACAGG